rnacentral:tRNA from 2 species
GGGUUCGAGGGUGUCGGAGACCCCCGCGUCGAAGGCGAGGGCGAUCUGGAACACCGGAUGACGAUCUGUUCGAGGCGGAUUGAGCAUC